rnacentral:lncRNA from 1 species
ACACACACCAGCUGAAACAGGAGAAGGAAGCAGAAAAAAUCGAGAAAGAAAGAAAAGAGAAAGGAAAGAGAGAAAGAAGAAAUGAAAGAAAGGAAAAAAAAAAAGGAAAAAAAAAGUAGGGUUGGCUAUUCCAAUUUCAUCUUCAAUUUGACAAAUUUCUUGGUAUGUUUUAUGCUUAAUUUUUUUAGGGUUGCAAUUUAUUGGUUUAAUUUCCAGAUUGAAGGAAAGGAUAUGUUUGCAAGCCAAUAUUUUUGAAUUGGAAAGGCUACUUAUAUUAAGGUAUGAAAUACCAAUUUUGGAAAAAAACCUUGAAUUUUUAUUUGGGUUUUUGAAUUAAUAUAGUUAUCAGGAAUAAUUGUAGAGAUGAAAUACUCAUCUGAAGGCAUGAAUUUAUGGAGCAAGAUGGAAAAUUAAAUUGAUUAAAUUAUAAUUAUUAGUUUUACUAGUUUGGAAGAAGGAAUUAUUUUUAUGUUUGGAGUGAAGAUUAUUUUGAUGAAUUAGAUUUUAAUGAAAGGACUAGAAGGUAGAAUUAGUUCCAACUAUGAAGGAAAUUAAAGAAUAUAUCCAAGUGUCGAGAAGUCGAGCAUUUCGUACUUAAAGUUAAGAAUACUUGGUAGGAUGGUUGUUAAAUUGGUUAUCUUGUAUCAUAUUUCAGGAGAUGACGAGUCCAUUACUUGGUGAGUAGAUAUAAAAACUUAUUUUUCAGAAAUUAAUAUUUAUUAAAUUUAUGUUAGAUUAGAAAAUUUAUUAUUUCAAACAGUUAAUUUGACAGCAUGAUUUUUAGGAUAAAGUGGAUUUAUAGUCAAUUAUUUUAAAGUUAAUUUCAGUUCAGUUAAAUCAUUUUCUUAGCAUGUUACAUUCGUAUUAAAUAGUUCAGCAUAUUUAAAUUAUUUUCUAAAAAUCACCAGAAAGUACCCAGGUGAUUUUACCACAGUCUACACUGGUGUGAAUGUGUUUCCACAGUGUAUGACUAGUUAUGGUGAUUUUACCCGCUCUGCACUACUGUGAAUGUGUUUUCAUAGUGUAUGACCAAAUUAUUAGAUUAUCAAAGAUCUUUGGGACCCACUCUCAUACACACAUAGGCUUUGGGCCGUGUACUAGGGUGAUUAGCCUUUGGGACAGCUCCGCGACGUAUGAACAGAUUAUCAUAUUAUCAUAUUUGAGUGGCUUUGCCUUGUACAUCGAGAUUACUCUGUACAUGAGUAAGGCUAUUCAUUGGGUACCUUUUUGGUGGGAUUUUUCAGUAUUUCUACAGCUUAUUACAUUUCAGAUUAUAGAAUGCAGUUUUUAGAAUAGAGCUUUCAGCUUAUAGUAUUGAUCAGCAACAAUAUUUCAUAGAUUUUCACAGAUGUCAUAGUAUUUAUAUUCGUUACAUUUUACAGUUACUUAUUUAAAAUGAAGAACAAAGAAUUUUAUGAUGUAUUCAUGUUUGAUUGUAAAAACUGUUACCAGAUUUCAGAAUUUCUUAAAGUUUCAAUAGAGUAAGAAUUUUCAGAAAAAAUGUAUAAAUGAGAAAAGUAUACUUAUUUGCAAAUCAUCCACUCACUGAGUUACAAACUCAUGUUUUGCCACCCUUUUUCUGAGCAGAUAGUAGCAGAGUUGAGCAGUCUUGGAGCCUGUCAAUUCACCUAAUUGAGCCACACGUCAGUAGCUGUAUAGCCUACUUUAUCAGAUUAUUAUUUGAUAUCUUUAGUACGUUUGGGGACCUUUGGUUGUAGAGUAAAGUUAUUAUCGAUAUGCUCGUAUUCUAUUUGAAUAGUUUAGAUUUUAAGGGGCUGGUGUACCUUAUUUUAUAUUAUAUGUAUUGAUUUGAGGAAAAUUGGUAAUUUUUCAGG